GACGAACGCUGGCGGCGUGCUUAACACAUGCAAGUCGUACGGUAAGGCCCUUUCGGGGGUACACGAGUGGCGAACGGGUGAGUAACACGUGAGUAACCUGCCCACAACUUUGGGAUAACGCUAGGAAACUGGUGCUAAUACUGGAUAUGUGCUCCUUCUGCAUGGUGGGGGUUGGAAAGCUCCGGCGGUUGUGGAUGGACUCGCGGCCUAUCAGCUUGUUGGUGGGGUAGUGGCCUACCAAGGCGGCGACGGGUAGCCGGCCUGAGAGGGUGACCGGCCACAUUGGGACUGAGAUACGGCCCAGACUCCGACGGGAGGCAGCAGUGGGGAAUAUUGCACAAUGGGCGCAAGCCGGAUGCAGCAACGCCGCGGGCGGGAUGACGGCCUUCGGGUUGUAAACCGCUUUCAGCAGGGACGAAGCUUUUUGUGACGGUACCUGCAGAAGAAGCACCGGCUAACUACGUG
rnacentral:rRNA from 1 species